rnacentral:lncRNA from 1 species
AACGAUAACAUGGCCCCAAGUCCUUGCCCCUCUUCCCAUCAAGACGUGGGGUCUCUACCCCCCACCCCCACUGCCCCUCUUCCCAUCAAGACGUGGGGUCUGUACCCCCUACCCACACUGACCCUCUUCCCAUCGAGAGGUGGGGUCUCUACCCCUUACCCACACUGACCCUCUUCCCAUUGAGAGGUGGGGUCUCUACCCCUUACCCACACUGACCCUCUUCCCAUUGAGAGGUGGGGUCUCUACCCCUUACCCACACUGACCCUCUUCCCAUUGAGAGGUGGGGUCUCUACCCCUUACCCCCACUGCC